UAUUAAAGUUGUUGCGGUUAAAAAGCUCGUAGUUGAAUCUGUGUCCCACACUGUCGGUACACCGCUCGGCUUAACUGGCAUGUCUUGUGGGACGUCCUACCGGUGGGUUUAGCCCGUCAAACGGCGGCCCAACUAAAAAUCCUAUCACGGUGCCUCUUUACCGAGUGUCGAGAUGGGCCGGUACGUUUACUUUGAACAAAUUAGAGUGCUUAAAGCAGGCUAAAUUUUGCCUGAAUAUUCUGUGCAUGGAAUAAUGGAAUAGGACCUCGUUUCUAUUUUGUUGGUUUUCGGAAGCUCGAGGUAAUGAUUAAUAGGGACAACUGGGGGCAUUCGUAUUGCGACGUUAGAGGUGAAAUUCUUGGACCGUCGCAAGACGUACAGAAGCGAAAGCAUUUGCCAAAUGUGUUUUCAUCAAUCAAGAACGAAAGUUAGAGGUUCGAAGGCGAUCAGAUACCGCCCUAGUUCUAACCAUAAACGAUGCCAGCUAGCGAUCUGCGCACGUUCCUCCGAUGACUCGGUAGGCAGCUUCCGGGAAACCAAAGCUUUU
rnacentral:rRNA from 1 species